rnacentral:tRNA from 1 species
GGGUGAUUAGCUCAGCUGGGAGAGCACCUCCCUUACAAGGAGGGGGUCGGCGGUUCGAUCCCGUCAUCACCCUGCA